rnacentral:ncRNA from 1 species
UUAAAAGCUAAGACGGAGUAAAGUAGUCUAUUUAUUACCUUUCAGGGAGGAAGAGUCUCGACUGAAAACUCUUCUAUGUGUGAUGAUAGGUGAAGUUCCCUCCCGAGCUGCCCGGCUGAACGUAAUCAAGUAGGCCAGGACGGUUCUUCACCGUUAACAGGAAGGGGGUAUCGGAUAUCAAUUCCCGUACCUUUGUCGAGUGGCCUUUUUGGCUUAAGUUGGGUGGUAACGCGAGAUAUAACUUCUCGUCCCUACA